AAAGUACUCCCUUCGUCCCAAAAUUCUUGUCUUAGAUUUGUCUAGAUACGGAUGUAUCAAGUCACAUUUUAGUAUUAGAUACAUCCGUAUCUAGACAAAUCUAAGACAAGAAAUUUGGGACAGAGGGAGUAGUUG
rnacentral:pre_miRNA from 1 species